rnacentral:lncRNA from 1 species
UCCCGGAUUCCUCCAUCUUCUUCUUCCUGUACGAAGGACUGAGCAUCUUGAACGAUUCAAUUGCUUCAGGGGACUGGAGAGGCACUUCCUCACCUUCAUUGAGGGAUUUGCGUGCGAAUUCGGCUUCAGGGGAGAGGAUCUCCUCCCAUGGCGCCCAACCUCUUUUGAUCCAAUUCUCCCGACGGGCUUCGUCCUCGGACAUCUUUUCUUUGGGGGCGAAGUUCUUCAAGAAUUCCUCGUCGACGGGGAGCUCAUCCGGAGCGUAUGAUGGCGUGGCAUUCAGAGAAACGAGCCCAUUCGCGCCUUUCCGGCGGCGGUGGAGAUCGAAGUGAUGAUCAUUUCUGUGGAUGAGGGGAAAUCUUGGGAAAUGUGCUAGGGUUUGUGUGGAGAAGAAGAUCGGAGAUUGGAGAUGAAGC